rnacentral:lncRNA from 1 species
CUACGCGCUAAGCAAAUUGCUUAGUGGUGCUCAACUUUUUUUUUUUUAUAAAUAAAAAGUUAAAUCAAAAUUCAUGUAAUAACAGUAAUUCAAACAAACAAACAACAAAUAACUAUAUAACAUUUCACAAUCUUUUCUUUUUCUUCAUCAUGUAAAAGGUUUUAUUUUCUCUUAAUACUUUUAUUUAUUUAGUAUGUUUCUGUUGGCCCCUAUAAAUUUAAAUGGGACUGUUAAGUCAGAUAAGGAUACUGUAACUGUAGGGCACAAAGUGCCAAAUAACUGUAUGGCUCAAAAGCCGAGUCUAUGACUGUAGGAUACCUCAUUGUAUCCCAAAAAUCCAUGUAACUGUAGUGCAGUACUGCAAGAUCUAUGUAUGGCAUGCCACACCCUUAAACUAACCCACAAUUCCCACCAAACUUACUAGGGCCAGACUUUAAAUCAUUUAUACAUUUAAACAGGGGGACAACAACUUUUAAUACAGUGUAACUAUCAAUUAUUCAAACUAUAAUAUUUUAUCAUUUUAAAACUGUGCUUUUAAACAUUGUCGUAUCAUAUAAAUCUAUUAAUUUAAUUCAACUACAUAAAUUAUAAAUUCAUAACUUAAUCCUUAAUUAAUUAACUAUUAUUCUUUUUGUUAUUAUUAUUUUUUUUUUAAUUCCUAUUUUUUUUUAUCUUAUAUUAUUCUUAUUAUUCUUCAACAUCACAAUUACACUAUGUCUCAUUUUUUUUUUCUUAUUUCUUUAAUUGCUAUAUAUAUAUAUCUAUAAUUUUUUUUUAAUCUAAUAUCUCUUCUUUUUUUCUUUAAUUUACUAAUCUUUUCAUUAUCACUAUAUCUAACCAAAUUAUAUUUCUAUCCAAGAAUAUAAGUCAUUUCAUUUAUUCCAUAACCUAAUUUAUGAUUACAUUACAUAUUACUUUUAAAAUUUUCUAUCUAUUAAAUCUAUUAUUUUACAAACCUUGAUUAUACUAAUAUAAUCAUUCACUUGGUCUUUCUAUUAGAGUAGUAAAAUUUCAAAUAGAAUGUAAUACCCGGCUCGAGUCCGGCAUCGGAAUUCCUGUAGUCCGGUGGAAUUUCGGGUGUCGGAACCCUCGAAAAGGGUAAUGCAUAUGUUUUCCAAGGUAUUUUCACUUGUUUUCAUGUUUUGAAUUGUUAAAAGCAUAGAAUUUUGACAGAAAAGCAACAAGGGAGAAAUGCAAAGGUUCGGCCGCCGAAGGUCACUUUCGGCCGCCGAACAUUGCAUGGUUGCGGCUUCACGUUCGGCUGCCGAAGGUGGUCUGGCCAGCCACCUAUAAAAGGGCCAAGGGUCGGUGGAAGGAGGUUAUUUCUCCUCCACUUGCAGCCAGAGGUGAGUUUCAGCCUCUCCUACGUUGACUUUCAUGUUUUCCAUGAUUUUCAUCAAAUCUUUCAAGAGUUUUAAGAGUUUUGAUGGUUUAUGAAGGUUUUGAGCAAAAGAACCAAAGUUUGAAGCUUGGAGCUUUGGAAGAGCUUUUCUUCAUAUCUCCACGUUAGGAUCCUUCAUCCUCAAGUUGUGUAAGAGGUAAGUGAAGAUCCUGAGCUUCUUUGAUGAUUUUAAAAGGUUUUAUGAAGUUUGUAGGGGUAGUAUGCAUGUUUAGGUUUAGGUGAGGGUUUUGGUGAUUUGUGGUGGUCAAGCAUGUUGAAGUGUUAUGUGUUCUGUUUGUUUGGGGUUUUAGAGUAGUUUUAGACCCCUUUGUGCAUAUAUAUGUGUAUAUGCUAGUUGGGAGUAGUUGAUGUGCAUGUUGGUAGGUUUUGGGCAAAGUUUGCAUGAAACAGAGCAGGGUUCUGUCCUUCGGGCAAAACCAGGUUCGGCUGCCGAAGGAAGGUUCGGCCGCCGAACCCUUUGUGGAGGCAGUUCGGCUGCCAAAGGUUGCCCCCGAAAGCUAGGCUUUCGGUUUAGAAAGAGACUUUCGGCCGCCGAAAGAGGGCGUUCGGCCGCCGAAAGUGUGUGAGUUUCGUCUCUGGAUGAGACCUUCGGCCGCCGAAGGUGCCGCCGAACAUGCAUGAGUUUCGUCUCUGGAGUGGGGUUUCGGCCGCCGAAUCUGCCGCCGAAAGUGCCCUGUCCAGCUUUCUUUUGCAUGUUUUAUGUGAUGGUUUUAGGAUUGUUUAGAGGGGUUUUGGGGAGUUUCUUAGAGAUGUUCUUGAGUGAGUUUAGUCCCUCAUUUGAGUCCACCUGUGUAGGAACGGACCAGAGGAAUCAGGGAGGUCAGCAGUGAGUCCAGUGUCAGAACCUGCAGAGUCAGUGCAGAGAUAACCAGGUGAGUGGAAUUUAACUUAAUGUUUUAAUAUAACCACUGAAUAUUUUAUCAUGCUUCAUGCAUCAUGAAUAUGCUUUAGGGUGAGUGCAUUAGUUUACACAAAGAUGAUGCAUUGCAUUUAUCCUUGUACUUGGCAUUGCUCCUUGUACAUUGCUUAUGUGAGGCGGCACGGACUUCGUGAGGAUUCAUUAGCCCUCAGAGGAAAGACCUGGAAUAGCCCUACGGGGACCAGGCACACAAAGACCUGGAACAGCCCUACGGGGACCAGGCACAUGGUACUCAGGUACCCCAGAUAAGAUAGAGGGAGUUUUGAUCCGUCCGGCCGAGGUGAUGUGCUUAUGUGUUGCAUUCCAUGAGAGCAUGUUUUAUCACCUGUUAUUUGCCUAUUCUACUCACUGGGCUAGCGUAGCUCAUCCCUCUCCCCUAACUCCAGUUGUGCAGGUUCAGAGGUCAGAGAGAACUCAGCAGGGUACAGGAAGAGUACAGAGUAUUGUACUAGCUAGUGUGGACAUGUACAUGUAAAUGUAAAUGUAUAGAGAAAAUGUAUAUGUACAGUGUAUAGAAUGGUGCUUGACUAUAAGAGUUGUAAUCCCUUGUUCUUUUCACAUGAUCCGUUUAUGUUUACAUAUAUUGUUGUAUGUGUAUGAGCAAAACCAGGCUUAACAUGAUGAGUUUGAUCCGCCUAGGGCCAUGAGGAGCUCUAGUAGGGAUGAGUAAAGAAUAGAAAGAUUGCAUGCACAGGUUAAGCCUUGGAAUGAAGUAAAGUUUUAUGUUUUUACAGCAAAUGUAUGAUCAUGUAUGGGAUUUCACAGGUAUACAGACAGGAUAGCAGGCUUACUACGGGUCCCGGCGACCUUAAGUCGAUCUGGAUCCUAGUGCCGGUGGCAGUUCGGUUUCCGGGCUGUUACAUAGAACAUAAAUAACAAUUUCUUGAAUUUCUUGAAAUAGAGUUGAGCACAAACCUUAGAAUUUCCAAAAUAUUCUACAAGCUUUACUUCUCUACUCUUCCUUUUCUUUCCCUUUGGAACUUCCACUUUUCCUUUCCACUUUUUUCUCAUGAAAAAAAUAAACCAAUAAAUCACAUUAAUACACUAUUUCUCAUAAAUAUUCACAUAAAAUGAUAAGAAAUAACCCUACAACAAAAACCCCUAACAUACCUUU